rnacentral:lncRNA from 1 species
ACUUGCACAAAAAGAAAAUCGCUAGAUCGCCCAUGUGUCCGCUCUGUAAUGAUCACCCGGAAACGGCUGAACACAUCCUUCUCCUCUGUCCUUGGGUGGAGCCUGUCUGGUUCGGAUGCUCCCUCAACCUUCGUAUAAAUCAUCAGGCGGUGACAUCUUUCGGCCAAUGGUUAGGGAAUGUUAUUGAGAAAGGGAAGACCCCACAGGAGCGAUCAAGAUGCCUAACUGUUAUCGCGUACUUCUGCUGGCAGAUUUGGAAGGAUAGGUGCAAAGCAGUGCUGGAACACAUCUCCCCUUCACCAGCCAGAACUACCCACGCUGCCUCUAUUGCCAUCAAUGAAUUCCUUGGCUCCCUUGAUCAUGGCAGACAUCAAACUGUGCAUCCUACCCUUUCUAAUGACAACCAACAACAACUUUGGAACCCCCCUGCCUCUCCCUUUGUCAAAGUCAACGUGGAUGCAUCAUGGAAUCCAAACUCAAAGAGGGUUGGCAUUGGUAUCCUAAUUAGGAACACUCAUGGAGACUUUAUCAAGGGGUCAUCCAUCCCAUCUGUGGCGAACUCUGCUAUUGAGGCUGAGGCACAGGCUUGUCUUGAAGGCUGUAAGCUCGCUGCUGAGAUGGGUUUUCAUCAAGUAACUUUUGAAUCUGAUUGCAAGGAAAUCAUCUCUCCUUUGAAGGGCCCCUUAUCCAAUGGAAGGUGGGAAAUCUAUCCUAUCCUAAGUACUGUUCGAGAUGUUUUGAACUGCUUCCAGACCUACGUUUGGACGUGGAUUCCUAGAACCGCCAACCAAGCGGCAGAUCAUUUGGCAAUGCUUGCCAUUUCGAGGAUGAGCCCAGAAGUAUGGGUCAACCGACCCCCAUCCUCUCUAAUGCAUAUCCUGAACAAAGAUGGUUUACCAUGCCCCCCAAGGAGUGCUUAAUGUUUGCGGUUGUGUGGGCUUCUCGACGUAUCCGGUUGUCUUAUGACUACGUCUUUUUAUUAGUCCUCCUUCCAUGCAGCUGUGAUGUUUUAUUUCUUGUUGUUUCGUUGUGCCUAGCUGCUUUAUAGGUUGUGUACUUCUCUUGGCUGUUUGCCUUUUUAUGAAAUUUCCAUAUUUCAG